UUCCACUUGUCGGAGUGCCAUUGGGCUGAGACCGUUUAUUCGGGAUCCGUUGAACCUGAUCAGGUUAAUACCUGCGAAGGGAACAAGAGAAGACUCUCU
rfam:Vibrio cholerae O1 biovar eltor str. N16961 chromosome I, complete sequence.